rnacentral:lncRNA from 1 species
CGAAGGGAGGAGGCAAGGGAGCCAUUUGUGGGGGGUCAGGAGGAGGCCCUGAGUUAGAAGGGUCUUCAGUUGGCUACUGUGGGCUUGUUGGAGGAGGGGCUAGUGUCACUAGUUAGCGGGAUUGCACAUGGACAAAUGCUGUUGUUUGGAAGGGAAUGAAGAACGGAAAGAGCAGGAGCACAGACUCCCAGAGAAGAGAGGAGUCACAAACUCGGGCAGAAAGGAUCCAAGAAGCCCUGUGGUUAACCCCUGCCUCCAGGGGAGAUGAGGCUAAAAUCCUGUGGAUCUGGCUGGCUCCUGACAUUGUAGCAGAGACGUCUCUGAAGGAGGAAGGAGGGGAGAUCCAUAUAAAGUUGGAGACGAGCAGAAGAGCAGAGGCUGCUGAUGGGACUGGGGCCAGCAGCUGCCCUCCACUUUGAGGGGUGACGGUCGUGUUAGCUUCCCAGGCUGCCAGAACAAACUCCCACAGACUGCGUUGUUGAAAACAGCAGAACUGUACUUUCCCAUAGUUCUAGAGGCUAGAAGUCUGUAAUCAAGUUAUCAGCGGGACACGCUCCCUAGGAAGGCUCCAGAGAAGGAGCCCUCCUGGUCUCUUCCUAGCUUCUUGUGGUCCCAGCAAUCGUCAGUGCUCCUUGACUUGUAGCCACAUUGCUCCUAUUUCUGCCUCCAUCUUUCCAUGGCCUUCUUCUUUGUGUGUCUCCAUAUCCAAACCUCCCUCUUUGUUCUUUUAUAAAGACACCAGUCACUGGAUUCAGGGCCCACUCCAGUCCAAUAUGACCUCAUCUUAACUUGAUUACAUCUGCAAAGACCCUGUUUCAGAAUGAGGUCAUAUUCACAGGUAUCAGGGGUUAGGCCUUCAGUGCAUUCUUUUAGAAGACACAGUCAACUCACUACAUUGGGAUUCUGGGUGGAGAGACAGAAUUUGUACUCAGGCCACACUUCUACCAUUUUGUGGCCUUAGGCAUUGGCUUCUCCAGUCUAAAGGAGAAAGUAAAUAGGAAAUUAGAAUGUGUUAGGUGCCUGUGGUGUGAGGUGAGGGCUGUGAGGUCAACAUGUCUUCCCUAUUUUGCAGAUAAGGAGACUGAGGCUGGGACAGGGCAUGACAGUUACCCAGUCCCGCUGCCAGUAAGAAUGGUUUCCUAGAACAUGAGUGGUGAUGGAGUGCACGUUGACCCCUUCCGGAGUUCAAAUUCAACACAGUCAAAGCUUAUGACUUCAUAAAAUACCAGAGGGUUGAUUCCUGGUCCCCGAGUGAAUCAAAGGAUAGGAGAUUAAAAAAAUAAACAGUAGCUGAAAGCAGAAACCAGGACUUGCACUGCCUUGUGGAAAUGAUUAAGAGUGUUAGACUCCUGAGAGAGGAUGCACAGCUAUGCAGUUCCCUCUGUGCAGCAGCCAGGUCAGCUUUGGUCAUGUGAUGUGGCCACGAAGGACAGUACAGAUGAAAAUCUCUGCUCUGUCUUCAUCUAUAGAGGCCCACAGCGCCAGCCCCAUAGUGCCCUGACCCCAGACUAGGCGACAACGUAGGUUCCCAUCUUGGUUUUCAUGUCGCUGUUGGAUUUUCUGUGGAUGGUGGGCCUGUCCAUGUGUCCACCACAGACUGAGAGACCCCCAGAGGCCAUCUGGUGGAAAUUCAGCACAACCCACCAUCCUGGCACCUUCUGAAUGUAAGCACUGUGCUAGAGAUCCAGACGAGGGAUUGGUUUCCAGCUCCAAGGAAUUGGCCCUAUUUCCUAUGGACAUUCCCUCUUCCGAACCCACUGCCCAGCUCCUUCCCAAGGGUCCAGUUCCCCAGCAGGUGAGGAUUAAUAUUCUUUUGCUGACCCUUUCCCAGGGCCACAGCCACAGCUGUCAACAGUUCUGGUCACAGCUCCAGGUGCAGGGGAAAGGAAAAAAGUGGUGGUGUUUGCUCAUCUAAUAACUUUGAAUAGAACCUUUCAGAUGGACUUUGGGCAGGCUGGCCGCUGUCUAGCAGCCACAGAAACUGUUGCCAGGCAUAGCAAUGCCUUGGAGAAGUUGUUCCCUCCAGCAGGCCAGUCCUCUGCAGAAGGCUAAAGAUGUCCUAGGGCUCACCCCCCACCACUUGGGCUGCACUGGAUGUGCCCAAAGGAGCCACAGCUGGAAUUAGAAUUCCGGAGAGCCCUUGGAUCAAUGGCUCCCAAACUCGAAUCUAUCUCAGAAUCACCUGGGGAAGUGGUUCUCAGACUUGCAUGUACAUCCGAAACACCUGAAGGAUUGUUAAAACACAGAUUGCUGGGCCCCCCUCCAGAGUCUCUAAUUCAGUGGUCUGGGGUGGAGAAGGAGGAUUUACAUGUAUACGUUCCCAGGUGCUGACGAUGGCACUGGUCUGCAGACCACAAUUUAAGGACACUGGUGUAGGCCAAAGUGUCGGGCCCCAGUCCAGGGGAUUCUUAGUGAGAAUAGGGUGGAACCAAGGAAUCUGUAUUUUUAAUAAGCUUGCAGGUGAUUCUGAAGCACAAGGUUUAGGAAACCAAUGUCUUAGAUCUACUUUGUUAAGUCGAGGCCCUAGGACUCCCAAAGAUACCUCAGGAGAUGCUGAGGAGGUGGACUUUGAGCCCAGUCAAGGCAAGCACAGUAUCAUACAUAGAGACAUCUCUGUGCUUGGCAACAAGCAGCAUGAAAGAAGUGUGAAAUGAGUUUAUUGCUGAAUGAAAGCUGGCACUUCCCCUGAGGUGAAUGGGGAUUUCUCACUUUGCUUUUUCAGUCGGGGGGACAUUGGAUACAGCUGGGGGUCCUGGUUGCAGUCUGGGACUUUGAUCAGCCUGAUUAGAGGAUGUCUCCCCACUUUGCAUCUUAUUUCUCCCCCAAAUUUACCUCUUCUUAAAAUGGGUGAUGUCAAUACCCCUCUGAGAUUAGGAGGGAAAAAGAGUUGAACUCAUAAGCAGAAUUAGGAGCUUUGGGCUUCUUGUCCUAUUUUGGGUUCAGCCUGGUGAACUGCAGUGGGACAAGAGAGACAGUGAAGAGCUGGGGGCUGCCCCCCAGGGUGUCAGGAACCUACUGGAGGAUCCAGCUGCCAGGUCUGGGAGGGGUCCAGACUGGCUGGCAGAAUAUAGUGCACGGAAGGGGGUACAGCAGGUGACAGUCCAGGAACCUUUAGAGUUGGGUGUCCCAAAGCAAAACGGCCAGGUUGUCCCUGCAGGUGGGGCACAGUACAGAGACAUGGGGUACACAGAUGGGUGUGUACGGAAAUUGUGGCAACCCAGUCCAUCGAGGGGGCUUAGCCACUGUUAGGACUCUGGGUCCUGGAGAAGAAAUGGAAAAAGCAAGGAGGGCAGACAGGUUUCAGCUCCAAUGCUAGGUAUAAUGGAUUGGUAGUGGCUGUCUGGAGCUCUGGGUCAGGAGGAUUUUAAGUGUGGCUUCAGCAGAAAACGUGGGAAAGAAUGAUGUGACUGACUACCAAUGAGUGCUGUGGGUGCUUUGUGGGGAUUUUCUUCUGCACCUUUAAUCCCUCCUGUCCCGGUCCAGGACUUGGACAAGGACUGUGCUGUGGCCCCUGCUGGAGUAGGGAUGAGGCAAAGCCACCUACAGGGACAGCCUGGACUGACUCAUUCUGGAAAGAAGACAGAUGGGCUCCUUGGGGCUCCCAAGUCCUGUUGGCAGGGCUGACCUCUCAGCCUAACCUCAUCCAUCCAGGCUCCUCUGAGGGACUGGCCAGGCCUGGAGAAGUCAUUUGGGGAGUGUUUAAGAUCAGAAGAAAAAGAAAAUAGCCAGGAUCUGGGAGAUUCAUUAACUUUUCUGUGCUGUGUCCUGACACCUGGUUUUCCGUUGGGGAAAUUCAUGGAUGACUCUGCCUCCUUCUUGACCUCUGUGGUCCUGGCUGGGCCUCCUGACUUUGUUACUUCAGCUCAUCCUUCAGAAGACAACUGUGCACCUCUUCAGGUAAAAAUUAACACCCAAGACCUCCCACCACCCUACUCUCCAGCCUCCUGUCCCUUUGUAACCCCAGUUUCUGCUAUAAGCCUGUGCACAUUCCUAUCUGAGGACAGAAGGGGUCGUGAUGGGCCCACAAUUAAGUCCCUGAAGCUGCAGAGUGGAGCCAAUUAGUAUGUAAGGCCCAAACAAAUGUUGUGCAGCAGCCCGGGGAGACAUCUGGUCUCAGGUUCCUGGGCUCUGAGCAGAGCUGGCCGGGGAGAGGCAGUGUUGAGAAAGCAGUCCCUCCCAUCCUCCCACCCCCUCACACAGCAAGAUUAGAGACAGCAGCCUCAGACUGGCACCCAGACAUGAAAAUCACCCCUAGGAGCAUUGCCUCUUCCCAGGCUGGCUCUCUGAGAAGCCCCUCAUUUCUUCACCAGGGGCCCAGGGCCUCUGUCAAUUUUCCUCCCCUCACUAUGGCACCGCCUACCCUACCCCUGGGAAGUGGCCUUUCCAGCUCCCCCUCCCUGGCUCCCACCACUCUCCAAACGAAGGUUUUCUAUUUAAAGGCGUCUCCAUGUGGAGACAGAUAGGAGGGAACAGAAUGCUAGGGAAUAUCCCCAGAGGUUUCCUGAACCCUUUCUCCCAGGAAGAAAAGAGGCAGCUGGGCAGUGGCUGACCCACAGUGACACAGGAGGCCAGUGAUACCCCCCACUCCAACUUUUCUUGGGGGCACAUCUGCUCCUCUUAACAGGAUUGCACAACAUCCACAUGUCCUCAGAGAUCCACAAGGCCUAGUGGUGUCUGGCAAUAGUAGGUGCUUGAUAAAUGUUUCUUCUCUCACUCAUUUUCUUCAGCAACAUUUAUUGAGUGUCUUCAUGUGUCAAGCUCGGGAACUACAAUGAUAGACAUGAUUGUGGAGGCCCUGCUUUCAAGGAACAUGUGACUCGAGAAAGAUGUGAACACAUGUAAUUGCAAAAGAGGGUCCAAUAGUCACUGUAGGCCAUGUUAGGGUGGAGAGUUACCUGAGGCUUCCCAGUGUAGGGGAGGAAGAUAAGUCCUCUACCCUGUGGGUCCUUCUGGCUGGGCUACAAAUUAAAGUCACAUGAGCCAGAAUGACAGGAGAAAAUCAAACAAAGCUUUAUAACAUGUAUACAUGGGAGAAACCCAGGAAAGCUGAGUAACUGACCAAAAUGGUGGAUGCUCUCACCUUAAACGCCAUCCUCAGCUAAAGACAGAGGAGGAUGUUGGGGUGGGGAGAGGCAGUUAUGGGAGAUUACCAGAAAAGCACAGUAAACAAGAGUAAGGUUAUUAUGCAGACUUGAGUCCUUGCCUUCUGCAUUGAUAAGAGAUUCUAGAGAUAAGGUCAUCCCCUCCUCCUGGUACAGAGAGGGAGACACCUUCACAGAUGGAGAUGUCCCUUACAAAUGUAUGUCUCUUACAAAGGGUAGCUUCUACUUUUCAGAGCUUCUCCCAUGUCUGCAGUUUCUUAAAAGUAACCAGCCCAAAAUAAUCCUUAUGCCAAAGAGACACAUUUUGGGGUGGCCUUCUAGUCCCCAACACCAGGGAGCCUUGAAGGAUCAGGAGGAUGUUAUCAGGUGUCUACGCAGAGAAAAGACAUGGCAGACAAAGGAAGCGGACAUUGCCAUUCCUCAGGAGCAUGGGUGAGCCAGCAAUAAGUGAUGACCUGAGUGGCCAGACUAAAAUAUAAAUGGGGGAGGCCUGCCUUUCUCAUCCCCUCCUCUCUGACCCCUUCAUCAUUCUUCUCUUGCGAGUGUGGUAGGCACUGGGGACAGACAGGUGGGAAAGAUAGAGCUCAGCGGUCUUCCAUCUUCUUCCUCUCAGCUCUUCUCUAGACUCCUUUUCUCUUUUCAACCCCACACCUACUAACAAGGGAGAAAGGGCCUGUUAGGGUGAGGCAAUUCUAUAGCACAAUGGAGCUGAUAAAUGAAUGACAAGCAAUAGGAUACUGGAGUAUUUAAGGAAGCCAUUUGGUGUAAAACUAAUUUGGCCUGAACUUCUUUUUCCAAAAGGGCCUGAUGUGGCCGUUGAGCAUGCAUUGUACAUCUGCUUUAAGUAUGCAGUAUGUCCCAAAGACAAGAACAAAGCCCUUAAAGAUAAGGAUGUAACUCCCCCCUCAUUUGCAUUUCCUUAAGGAUAGGCAUCUAGACUAGGCAUCCCUAGACUAGGAAUUCACUGUUGGCUUGCUGCACUCACCUUGUGACCACUCACAUCAAGACCACCAAGCUGCGGUGUUCACAGAGUUAUGGAAAUGCUGUAUUGGCAAAGCCAUCUCAUGACUAUUGUAAAAGUGACAUUCCAAUCAUGUGUGAUACAUGCUCUUCGACAGUAUAUAAUCACUCUGCCCACUCCCCCUUCUUUGGAAUGCUCCCUUCCUUUGUGAAAGGACUCUCCUGGGCUAUAUGGUCCUCAUAUUUGGCUCUUAAUAAACUCACCCUAAUUUUGAUUUACAGAUUGGUUAUGGAUUAUUUGCAUCAACAGAGCAGAGACUUUGGAGUAAGACUUUCUGAGAUCAAAUUUAAGCUUUGUACUUACUAGCUGUGUGAUCUUAGGAAAAUCCUAUCUGUACCUCAGUUUCCUAAUCUGUAAAAUAGAGAUAAUAGUAGUGCCUACCUCAUAAGGUGACUGUGGGAAGGAAAUAAAAGAUUCAGAACACUUAGAAAUAGCACUGGGAAGUGGCUAGGAAGUGCUGCUAUCAUUACUGGCCCCCCUCUCCUCCUCUCAUUCUAGAAUUCUGAGUUAUGACAUCUCAGAGUCUCUGGAGCAUCUCUCAUCUCAGACUCCGUAGAACCAACUCCCUGAGUCAAUAGUUCUCAGAUGUUUCUGUGCAUCUGUAUCACCUGCAGACCUGCUGGCCCAGCCAAGGGGACUCUACUCAGAGAUUCUAAUUCAGUGCUUCUGGUUUGGGGCCCACAAACUUAUAAUUUUAAUAGCCUUUCCAGGUGUUUCUGAUGAACAUCAAGGACAUGAACUUUGUGGAAGCCAGUGGUUUCCCUGCUCAGGCUUAGGGACUGGACAUUAUUACUCCUGCCGGAUUAACUGGUCUAGAUUAACUGAGACUUCAUUACCUUAGAGAAGUGGGGGGAGGGAUGGGGAGACCUGCAUGUGUUUGCAUUUUGUUAGCCAUCAGAAAGGGACGUGGACAAUUUGGUGUGAUAGAAAAAGGGUCAGUGCAAAUGAUGUAGAUUUCCAUCACGUGUGACUUGAACACCACGACCUCAGCUUGCAGUCCUCUAGCCAUGGUGGAACCGGGGAGGGGCUGAGUGUCAGAAGAGACCAGAGAAGCAGAGGCCUCUGAGCCAGAUUUCUUUACCACCUUGAUAAGACCUGCACCGCCUUCUGGCUCAGGACUUCUGGCCGCCCUCCUUGCCCGUAUUCUCCAGCACAGCUCCAUGGUUCUCCCUGCUCAACCCAGCAGGCUGCUUCCUAAAACACAGCUGUAUCAUGCCACCCACCCCACUGCUCAGUGUUACUUGGGUCACAGGACUGCCUUUUUUUUUUUUAAGACUUUAUUUUUUUCCUUUUUUUCUCCAAAGCCCCCCAGUACAUAGUUGUAUAUUCUUCGUUGUGGGUCCUUCUAGUUGUGGCACAUGCCUCAGCGUGGUUUGAUGAGCAGUGCCAUGUCCACGCCCAGGAUUCGAACCAACGAAACACUGGGCCGCCUGCAGUGGAGCGCGCGAACUUAACCACUCGGCUACGGGGCCAGCCCCAGGACUGCCUUUUAAGGCCUUUCAUAAUCUACUCCUCCUCCCUGAUUUAAUAUAAGACAGUUCUGCUCUUCAAAUCAGCUGAGAGUAGCUAGAAACAUACAAGCUGAGCACAGAGGGGUUAAAAUGAAAUGGGAAGUGAGAGAAAUGUCCUAGGGGUGGCUGGAAGGACAUGAUAUCAAGGUGAUGGGCCUCUGGGGAGAUGGCACCAGCCAUUGAGCCACUCGUGAAAUAAACACAAAAUGAUGCUGUGGAACAGAACAGCCAGUAAAUGGUACCAGUGUCACCACAUUCCUCUGUACCAGUCAAUCCUGGCACUCGAGACCCAGUGAGGCCUCAGAAUGCUUCUCAAGACAUUGCCAAGGGGACCAGUCCAAUGGACUUGGAUUAAUGUAGAGAUGACAUCUAGUGACCAUCCCCUUCUAGAAGAACGAGUGAAGCAGUUGAGCUUCUCCCAGCAGUAGACCCAGCCUUACCUAGCUCUGGGGAAGAUGCUACAGGCAAAAUAGAACCAUGAGAGGUGCAGACGUGGGCAGACUGGUUGCUCUUCUUCCUGGGCACACAGCUACCCUACAUAUUCCAGCCUCCCUUGUGAAAUCCCUGGGGCCAUGUGAGUGGGUUCCAGCCAAAGGAAUGAGGAGAAGCUACGUGCCAGUGUGGGCCUGGCCAUGAAGGCUUGAGCACAGUCCUCUGUGAUCCUACCCUUCCAUCUGUGGAGCCAGAGGCUGAAGAUGGUGGAGCCAUAGGAUGGAAGGAAACUAAAUACCAGCCACUGCUUGGAGGAGGGCUGCUUGCCAGUCAAGAAGACCCAUUAUGGACUUUACGUGAGGAAGAAAUAAAUUUAUAUCAUAUUUUAGCCAUAUGUAUUUUUAGGUUUAUUUGUUAUAGUAGUCGAUAUUGUCUUAACUAAUAUAAGGAAUGAGGGUAGAACGUCCAAGCCUGAGAGACCUUGACUAAGAAUGAAAGAAGGACAAUGCAGCAAGGUCUAGGUUACAGGAGGAAAGUCCUUUCUUGUCCAGGGCUCCAGGAAGAAGAAAAAGAAGAGGACCCAGGAGUGCUGGGGGAGCAGAGUUAGACAUAGGCUAGCCCGGAGCAAGGGGGUGGAAGGGAGGGAGAGAAGCAGCGCGUGGAGCGGCUGAGACACAGACCCUGAGAGCGCACAGCAGCCCUUCCCCUCGCUUCUCAGGGCUCCUGACCUGCUCCCUCCUUUUUCCUCUUUGCAGCCUCUCCACCCCACCCUCUUUUUUGGCUCCUGCAUUCCUCCCAUUUUCUGCCCAGAGGAGAACCAUGCCUCUUUUGUGGAGGAGGGCCAGAGAAGACCAAGAAAUGCCAGCCCCGAGAAAGAAAGAACUUAAAAUGAUUCUAAUGUAGCUGAGGAGAGGCGCUGCCUUUCACAACAAAUGUGAGGCAAAUCAGUCACCCUUCACGGCUGGUUCUCAGAGGAGGGAAUUUGUGCUCUGAGGCUAGGAGUCUCAGCUGAGAUUUUCAUGCAUUUCAAGGUGGAGAAAACUUUUUUAGUUAAAAACUGUCUUAGUGUUGAUCCAAAGGGAAAUUGAGCCAAGUGAGCUACAAAGUAAUUUUUGACCUUGGGGAAGUGGAAGGCAAAACCCAGCCAGCCCGGAGGCCUGGAGGGAGGGCUGAGAGGGUCAUUGUGUGCCUGCAGGUUCUGUUCACUCGGAUAAGAUGGUGUUUAAAGGUAGUGUUUACCAAGCUGUGGCCUCUGAGGGAGCAUAACGGUUUCCAGAAGGGGUAGGGGGGUCUUUGUGGUAUGCACGGCAGAAAACCUCUGACUUCUUCAGGGCCUUCCAUGAAGGAGAGCUUCAAAGAGUCUAGGCUCUGGAGCUCCCUCGAAUACAAACGAAUGGUAUAUUUUCUUCAUAGAAGUGCUCUGACCUUGGAAGCAAUAGUUGAGGCAAGAAGAAGUAGAAAAAACAAGAACAAUUUCCUUGAAGAGAAUUCUGUAAUAUAUUGUCAGGUCCAGAACUGCCUGAGAAUGAGUAGCAGCUGUGUAAUACAGAGGGAAAAGCACGAGCCCCAGAGUCCCAGAGUUGUGAAAAGGUCUUUAUUUCACCCGCUUUUAGGAGUAAUAAUUUUUCUGGUUACUCGAUUGCAAGUUGAGAGGUUUUUUCCUCAGUGUGAUUCCACUGACUCUGGCCUCCGUCGUCCGCUGGGAAGUCCACGGUCAGUCUGAAGGCCCCGCCUUGGCAGCUGGAACUCACCUCGCAGCGGCCCUGUUUACUCACCUACCAGCUGCCUUCCUUAGAACCAGUUUUGUUCCUGUUCAGAAGGAAACCAGGCAGAGUUGGGAAAAUAUUUCCUCAGCCAGCUCCGCAGCCCCACUGUCUGGCGGAGGCCAUCUGGCCGGGAUGCACUCCGAGGGAGUAAACGCAGAAUUGCCCUCUCCCCGCACGACAGGGCAGAGAAGACGGCAGGUCCCAAGACGGGCUGCUACUGUGCUGAUUCUAACUCAUCUCCGGAAGUCCCCAGAGUCCAGCAGUGUGCUGGUGAUGUUUCACCACCGGCUCCCUGGGAGGGUGGAGGGUUGUCUGUGACGGCCGCCUAUGGACACACUCAGUCCCCUAAUUCUUCAAACUCAUCAGGACCUUUGAUACGUUGGACCUGAAGUCUAGUGUCCGUCACCCCCGCCCCCAUCCUGCCUUCACUUCUCUCCUCACCCAGAGCAGAUUCUAGGGCCCUUCAGCGUAAUCACGCCUCGUGCAUGUCCCUGUCUUCCUCCGACACACUCACUCAGUCAAACCCUAACCUUAGGUAGACCCAGCACUCCAUUCCCAAGCAAGCACACAUGGCCAGAGGAAAACCACAGCUGCCUGGACUGGUCUUCGCCUAAAUGCAAGAUGACUCAUCUCUAACGAGCCUCAGUGCUGCCCAGAAACCCAGCUGCACUUCCCUAGUCAGUUCCCCGCUAUCCCCAGCUAUGUGGAUGAACAGCUCCUGCUCCUAUCCAGGCAGGUCCCUCCCCUGAAACACUGCGUUGAUCUCAUCUUCUGUCCACCCUCAACCUUCGGUCCUACAAUUGUCCUCUCUGUCUCUUAAAACAUCCUUUUCUUCUCUACUGGAUCAAAACUCUAAAUUUCUUAUACCAUUAAGGCUUCUCUCUCUCUCAGCCCCUGCCUGCUUCAGGUCAGAAGCUGCAGGGGCAGGAGGGAUGGUGAUAAGCUUACCCUCUAUUUCCCCACCUGGCCUGUCUCCUCAUCCUCCCCUCCCUCAUUAGGCUGCCCCAUGUCCCCCAAGGCUGCUGCUCAGGAAGAGGGAGGAGAUCCAAGGAGGAGGAAAGAUCGUACUUGAUUGGUACCGCUGUAGGAUAGUGCUGGUGUCUUCUGGCUUGGUGGAUGUUUAAAGCUGCCUUUCUUCUCUUGGGUCUUACACAUGUUUCUUGGUGCUGCCCCUGUGGGGAUCCUCUGAUGGCAGCUUCCUUGGUACAGACUAUGCCCUUCCUCUGGUCACCCAUUCACCACUCCUCCCCUAGCUCCUGGUGUCCCUUGGUCCACACCACACAGACUUGCUGGGACCCCAAGCAUCCUCCAAGCAGUCUUCAUGGGCAGGACACCUUUAUGGAGCCCCAGGAUGCCACCCCUGUGGCAGGCUCCUGUCAGCAUUUCGCUCCUACCGCCAUGAGAGUCCAGCUACUUCCCAACACAGCUCCCCACUCUGCUACACCAAGGCCCUAGCCACAGUCUCUUGUCUUCAAGACCUUUACAGGCCUGAGUCCAGCACCGGUCUGUCUGCUAUAUUCCCCAGGCGGCCCCUUAAAGCCCUCACUUGGUUUGCUGUGAACGGCGAGCCUCUCCUCCACAACUUUCUCCAUAAAACUCAAGUCCCAUCCCCCCUUCAAUCUCAACCGUAUAAUGCCCUCAAAGUGGCUGAUGUGCUUAGAGUUGCCACCGGUUGUGAGAGACGUCCUUCACAAGUCCCGCACAGAUGAUUCAGCACCUCACUCUGGAAUGUGGGGUCUCUCAGCACCUAUUGCUUUGUGCUAAGCCUUUGGGCUCUCAGUCAAAACUGAGGGAGAAAGAAUUGUAUUUUAGCAUCUCGUUACGUACAUCCAUUUCUAUCCAUAAGUAAAUAAUGUGGAUUAUAUAAAGCUCAUGGGUUGAGAAAGAAAAGACAACAAGAAGGAAGUAGUGAAAGUAAUUGUAAAGUCACUGAGUCCAUCGAGGCUGCUGUAACAGAACGCCGUAGACUGGGCAGGACUUUAUUCUCUCACAGUGCUGGAGGCUGGAAGUUCAAGGUCUAGGUGCUGGCAGAUGCACUGUCUGGCGAGAGCCCACUUCCUGCUUCAUGGACAGCCGCCUUCUCGCUGUGUCCUCCCGUGGCCGAAGGGCAAUGGACCUCUCUGGGGUCUCUGACAAGGACACUAGUCCUAUUCACAAGGGCUCAACCCUUAUGACAUAACCCCAGAGGCCCUGCCUCCUAACACCACUGCAUUGUGCGGUGGGAUUUCAACAUAUGAAUUGGGGGAAUGCAAACAUUCAGUCUACAGCAGUCGUUUCCAUGGUCGAGCACCAGAGCAAAGGACCAUGAACACCCUCCAAUCUCCGUUUCUCCCAACAUGUGGCCACUCAUCUCUUCCUGGGUUCCCGUGUACAUGCAACGCAUUUCUUGAGGCAACUUGAAUGAGCCUCUUUUUCUUGCCUCCAAAAACCCAGCCAGAGAACCCUCUAAAACUGGAUUUGCUUCUCACCAAACACUUCUCUGUAGGACUGCUUCCCCAGACACCCCUGAUUCCAUCUCGCCCAGCCCUGCCCUCCAAAGCUAGGCCCAAGGACAGCUGGGGCAGCUUCAAACAGGGCCACUAAAGCCUGAAGCCAGCAACAACACAGCGGCUCUCAGGGCUCCAGCAGGGCUGGUCAGAACCUCUUUGCCUAAUAUUUGCUGAUCACUUCAUAGGAAACCGCUGUUUGUAACAACAGCAAGACAGGGGCAGGAAACUUGCAGUGGACGAUGAGGCCAGGGCAGCCUGGAGACCUUCCUCAGAGGCAGAACCGAGUUCUUUCUCGGAACAGGCUGUGGCUUCCCCUGUAGGCCAGAAAGUGCUUCUCCUUCCUCAGACUCUUUUCUACGUUUUGUAUCGCCUCCUUUUCCUCUUUUUGGUGGCACUGCCCCUGCGUCUACUCCAUGCUCUUGAGGAACUUUUAUCUUCUUUUUCUCCUCCUGGUGGGUGGCAUUCUGCAGGAUGUCCGCUCCUGCCCGUGUCCGCCUUUCUGUUCUGGUUUUUUUACUAAGGACGCAUCCUUUUGUUGUCUUUCCCUUCUCGUGUCCUGUUCCCUUGAAGAUCUUAGUUUUUAUUUGCCUUUACUUAUUCAUGUUGUUUACUUUUUUAUACAUAAUUUUAAUGUUUCCUUGUAAAUAUUUAAUUAUUUUUACUUUUAAAAAAGAUUCUUACUUUUCUAGUUUAAAAAAUAUUAAGAUUUUUUUCUGUUUUAUCAUUUUUAAACUCCUGUUCCUGGCUUAAAAAGUUAAUUUUAAUUUCCUUCUCUUCCUCUGGUUUGAAGUUGAUACUUAGUUUUGUGAGUUGUUUCUAUCAUAGCCAGCAGGGAGAGUGGGUCCAGGAGUGAUGGCAGUAGGACGAGGCCACGCGGCACCAGGGGGUGACGGGGCCCCUCCCCUGUCCUCUGAGCUGCUUUGCAGGCUCCCUCCAAGCCCCCUGAGGCCUCAGGUCCCUCCAUACCAGCCACGGUCUGGCUUUGGGGCGCUCUCGCUGGCAUCUUCAGUGGGCCAGCUUUCUUCUUCAUACGGUCACUGUGGUGCUGUAGCACCCAGAUGCUUCACACCAGGCACCCGCCCAUGGUCUGGGCAGGGGAAGGAGGCAGAGCAGAGCCAGUGUGAGGGAAGCACGGGUGAAUUCUCCGCACUCUUCUGUUGAGGUUUCAUUGGCCGGAACUGCGCAUCCACAGCUCCGCGGGAGUCUGGCCAGUGAGAAUAAUACAGAACUCUUUAAGUCAAGACCUUUAAUUUUUCUUUUUGUCUUGCGAAUCUCAAAUUUACAGAGAAGUUGCAAGAACAAUACCAAACACUUUGUUUCCUGAACCACUGAGAGUAAGUUGCCAACUGGUGCCCCAGCGCCCUGAAUAUUUAAUGUGUGUUUCCUACAAACAAGGACAUUCUCCCACAUGUUGCACAGCCACAGCCCAGCCUGGACGUCAGGAAAUUGAUGCUGGUGAGGUCCCACCUUUAGUCUCCAGACCCCAUUAGUGUUUGCCCUCUGUCUUGAGAACCUCCCUUACAGCAACGGCCCCGGGCUUGGAGUCAUGCGCUGCACUUAAUGGCAAUGUCUCCUUAGUCUCUUCCAUCUGGACCAAUUCCUCAGUUUUUCCUUGACUUUCAAGUGUGUCAACUUUUUUUUUUUUUGAUGCUGAGGAAGAUUCACCCUGAGCUAACAUCCGCUGCCAAUCUUCCUCUUUUCUUAUGUGAGCCCCCACCACAGCACGGCCAGUGACAGACGAGUGGUGUAGGUCCGUGCCCAGGAACCAAACUCUGGCCACUGAAGCAGAGUGCGCUGAAUUUAACCACUAAGCCACCAGGGCUGGCCCGCUGUGUAUCAACUUUUGAAGACUCUAGACGAGUUAUUUCGUCACUGUCCCUUGCGGGUUUCUUUGCUUCCUCCUGCUUAGAUCAGGUCAUGCACCUUUGGCAGGAAUGUCACAGGACAGACUGUGUUCUGCUCACUGCACCCUGUCAGGUGAGGCUCAGGUUCACUCUGUCAUUGCCAAGGAGACUCUGACUUCCCAUGGCACACUGCCCCUUACAUGGGACCUUUACUUGCCCUGUCUAGACUGAUGCUGCCCUCCUCCUCUUCAGGAACGCCUUCCCACACCCGUCCCCUGGACUCCAACACUUUUUUGGGUUAGGGUUAGAUGGAUACCCUUCUCACCCUGUCGGAUGCUGAUUCCCCACCUCAGUGUCCCCCUACCCGUGUGGGCAGCUUACUGUUCUACUUGGGCUCUGACACCGCAGGCCAGCCCCUGCCACACACAAUGUGACACCCUCCUCACCCUGCUGGGCUCCGACACCCUACACCAGGCUGCCCCUCUCCAUGGAGGCCAACCUUGCUCUGCCUUAUCUUAACAGCCUCAGGACUGAACUGUUCAGGAAGGGCAAGGAACAAGGCUGCUUUUAAAAAUCUUUACAUAGUUACUCAGAUUUUUUUAAGAUACAAUGCUAACUAAUGCUCGUGGUGCUUGCUAAGUGCUAGGCAUUGUCCUAAACCCUGUACACUGAACCCACACCUCUAUAGGAGUUUGUAUAAUUAUAACCUCUAGUUCAUAGAUGAGGAAACUGAGGCACAGAGAGUGACUUGUCCAGGGUCACACAGCUUGUAAGUGAUAGAACCGGGACUCAGGUGUCUCGAUUCUAGAGUCCAUGCUAUUAACCACUCUGCUGUACCUCAUGCUGCAAACAGAGCUCGUCAGAUCCAAUUAAGCUCCACAGUGAACUGCCCUUGAUUUCCUUCCCUUCCCGGUGAUUCCCAGAGAAAACACCACAGUCAUUUGGUGUAAGGUAUUUCUAUGCAUGUAUCUGUACUUUCACUAUGCAUUUAGUAUUCCUUUACAUGCUUUUAAAUUUUAUAAAUAUUAUGCUUACUGUAUUAAUCUUGCAAAUUUCUUUUCUUCUCCAUAUCAUGAUUUUGAGAUGUAUGCAUAUUGCAAUGUGUAGCUUUAGUUCAUUCCUUGAAAUUGCUGUAUAGUAUAUUUUAUGAAUAUACUACAACUUAUCCAUUUUUCUGUUGAUGGGCAUUUAGGUUCUUUACAAUUUUUCACUAUUAAAAAUAUUGCUGAAAUAAACAUUUUGGGCUUUUUUAUGCAAUUGUACAAGUGUCUUUAGAA